rfam:Anopheles gambiae str. PEST whole genome shotgun sequencing project, whole genome shotgun sequence.
ACUUAUUGAGAUAAGACAGAUUGAUAGCUCUUUCUCAAACUUAAGGGUAGCGGUGCAUGGCCGUUCUAAGUUCGUGGAAUGAAUUAUCUGGUUAAUUCCGGUAACGAACGCGACUCAGUCAAGCUAACUAGAACGCUGUCAGUAGUGUGCCUCCGGGCGCACCUGACGUUAGGAGUGGCGGGUGUCCUCACGGGUGCCCGUCACUUAGUUUGCCCUGCUUAGCGGGACAACUUGUGUUUAGCAAGAUAAGAUUGAGCGAUAACAGGUCCGUGAUGCCCUUAGAU